rnacentral:rRNA from 1 species
UACGGGAGGCAGCAGUGGGGAAUAUUGCACAAUGGGCGCAAGCCUGAUGCAGCCAUGCCGCGUGUAUGAAGAAGGCCUUCGGGUUGUAAAGUACUUUCAGUCGUGAGGAAGGUGUUAAGGUUAAUAACCUUAGCAAUUGACGUUAGCGACAGAAGAAGCACCGGCUAACUCCGUGCCAGCAGCCGCGGUAAUACGGAGGGUGUGAGCGUUAAUCGGAAUUACUGGGCGUAAAGGGCACGCAGGCGGUUAAUUAAGUUGGAUGUGAAAUCCCCGGGCUUAACCUGGGAAUGGCAUUCAAGACUGGUUAGCUAGAGUCUUGUAGAGGGGGUAGAAUUCCAUGUGUAGCGGUGAAAUGCGUAGAGAUGUGGAGGAAUACCGGUGGCGAAGGCGGCCCCUGGACAAAGACUGACGCUCAUGUGCGAAAGCGUGGGGAGCAAAC